rnacentral:rRNA from 1 species
UACGGAGGGUGCGAGCGUUGCCCGGAAUCACUGGGCGUAAAGGGCGCGUAGGCGGCGCGGUAAGCGUGCGGUGAAAGCCCGGGGCUCAACCCCGGGUCGGCCGUGCGGACUGCCGGGCUCGAGCACUGUAGAGGCGGGUGGAAUUCCAGGUGUAGCGGUGAAAUGCGUAGAUAUCUGGAGGAAUACCGGUGGCGAAGGCGGCAUCCUGGACCGGCAUUGACGCUGAGGAGCGAAAGCCAGGGGAGCAAACGGG